rnacentral:rRNA from 1 species
AUGGGGAAGAAGCGGGAUGGGUUGAUGGCCGACCUAGUACAGGCCACCGUGUUAGACGCCACCAGGAAGAGCGAGGCCUUCUGCGUCACGCACCACGUGGCCAACGGCGGGUGCAUCAAGGACUUCCUUAGGGCGAUGGGCGAGUGCCACCCCGAGCUGGGGGACGGCGAGGACGUGGGUGAGUGCAUCAAUGCCACGGCGGCGCUGCGCCGCUGCUUUGCAGACAACCCGGCGAUGUCCAAGCACAUCUACCUCAAUCGCAUGGACGAGGGCCUCGACGAAGACCGGAAGCUGUCCCCAGAGCAGGUGAAGGAGGAGAGCAACAUGUUUAGGUGGUGGACUGGCAUGAGGAGAACAUGA